UCCUCAUUCUUGAGGUUUUUAGGGCCAGUAAGUGAAUUAGAGGAGAUUUCCCCCCUUCCUAAGGGGCUGCAGCGGGCUUGGCGACCACCUGGAUUUGGGGGAUGAGGCGCCAUGGAAAUUUUGUCGCCUAUUUUUGGAACUUUGGGCAUCUUCCAGCACCGGAGCUCAGCACUGAGGGGUGUGUGCUCUGUCCUCGACAGGCAGGAUUAUUGACUCCACACUGUGAGAAUUCCCCUCCUGAACACCUGCGCCAGGGCUGGUUGUGUUCUAUGUGGUCCUGCCAUCCAAGACCUUGGGAUCUAGCUGAUAUUGGGCCUUUUGGGAGCCUGGAGAAAGCACUGGAAGGUGUGGUGUGGGCAGACCGACCUGGACAAGGUUUUGGAGUGAUGUUGGAGGACACACAUUGGAGGAGCUCCAUCCCAGGGCACCUUUCCCUGGCCCCAAACUCUGCGAGGGCGAGCGCGGCUCUCCCGCGUUUCACGGAGCCCCGUUCCAUGGCGUAACACCACCACACCCUCCUGGAACAGCGCGGCAUCCUCGGGGAAAGGAGAAGUGGAUGGGGUGGGGAGCCCUUGGUGGAGCUCCACACCCAGCCCUCAGCUGCUCUGCUGGCCGUCCCCAAGCCGGGGAGCACCGGGGCGCUCACUGCGGGGCUGCUCCAUGCCUGGCUGCCGCCGGGCCCCGCAGCUGGGCCGCAGUUACAGCACAAACACCCUCAGCCAUCCCAGCUGGACGCGAAAGCAGCCGCGCGUUCCACGGGAAGCGCCGAUGCCAGAACGGGGAGGUCAAGGCUCUGCAGUGUUUUUCUGGCAAAGGAAAAACCCAGUCGGAUGGAAGGCGGUGCCUUGGGAAUCUCCGCAGCGGUGGGAUGAGCUCCGAGCACGACUGGAGAUAAUGGGGCUUGGGGAGGGGAUUGAGCCAGGGAAUAUUGGAGAGGAUCCAGUUCCCCGAGCCCAAUGGCCACCCUUCUUCGGGAUGAAGUCAUUGGAAGCAGCACAACCGCUUAUCCAAAAGGCCAACCUGCUUCCAGGAGUUUUGGGAUUGUGGUUUAAACAGGUUUUUGUGUUCCCAGCCCUCUGUGCCCACAGGUGCUGCUGGUGCUGCCUCAUUUCCCCCUCAGAGCAGCUCCAGCUCAUCAGAUUCCCUGUCUGUUUUCUUAUCCAGGGGAAGGCUUUUAGCUCUUCUUUCCUGCAGAGUGAGGUGCUCAGAACUGUCAGCACCAUAUGAUCCAUCCCUCCAGGAAUAUCCAAGGGGAUGGAGGCAAUGUGUCAGAACAUGUGGAAAAAUCCCCCAGAGCUUCCAGUUGAUGCUGGAAUUAUUAAAACCAAAAAAGCGGAGAAAGCGUUCUUGGAGCGCUGGAAAAUGCCACUGAUAAGGAUCUUUUCAGGGCUACUCAAAUUUCUCCCAUGAAAAGAUGAGCUCAAAGUACCAAGGUUUGGGUCUGGAUUUGCAGUUUUCCAGACUCUGGGGACUUGGAGCUUGGAAUAAUUUUUUGGCUUCUUGCACAGUGUAAGAGGGACCAAAGCUCCAGCAGCAGGAGGCACCUGGAAGCUGCUGGAGAUGAGCAUGGAGCUGGUCCUCUUUUCCUGGACAAGGAUGAAGCCAAUGUCCCAGUGAUGGUCACAGCCCCUGGAAUGGGCUCUGAUGAGCUUUGGAUGAGUUUUGGUUUUGCUCUGCAGAAAUCCACAGCUUUUCCUUGUCACUCCCCAGAACUGGAUCCAUUCUGAAGAGCAGCAAUACAUGGAAAAUGGAAUAUUUUGCUUAUUAAAGUCACUUGGAGAAUUGCAGUUCCGAGGUUGGCAACCAGAGCUCGGAGAGGCUGAAGGAGCUGGAGAGUUCAUUGUUCCCCUUUUCCAAGAGAAACUUCCACAUGUGCCAGCACUUUUAUUUAUAAUGCUCAAAUAAAUGGAGUCCAUUUAAAGGUAUUAUUGAGGGAGCAGCACUUCAAAUAUAUCAUUUUUAUGUUAUUAGACUGCUUGGAGUGAGGUGUCCUACUGCAGGCAGAUAAUCCAUCCCCCUGCCUGGAUUCCAGGCUGGAACUUACUGGAAGCUUUGCACCACAAGAAUCUGAGUGAAGGGAUUAUUUUCAAGGGAAGAAAAGGGAGCUUGAGGAAAAUAAGGCUGGAAGGCAGAACCUCAAACCACGGUGGAGAAAUUUCCUGACAGCAGCUCCGCGUCUCGUGACCACCUGAUGGCUCCUGAGCUUUUUGGGGAUUUCAGCAGAUGCCCAAAGGGGAGCUCAGCUGGCUGGGAAGGAUUUGGGGUAGGCUGCACCUGGAGUUGGGGCCGGCUGUCCCCCUUCCUUCAUUCCAUCCAUUCUUUUUUUGUUGGAACAAGGGAAAUCCGGAAGGAAUCCAGACGUUCUGAGAACAUCAAAUGAUGGCGGUGACCUUUGCAGGCUGUUCCUGGUGUCCUGUGCUGGGAUCUGUGGUGUGAGGGAAUGCUGCUGCUGGGACAGGAAAGGUGGUGCAAGCAGCCAGAUAUUCCAAGGAAAGGAGAGAGGGAAGAUGGACUCGCACAGGAGCACCAAGCCCAAAGAGGAUCUCGUGUCAGAGCAGGAUCCUGUGUCCAGCUGAAUUCCCUGCAGCCAGGAAUUCCCAGGAG